GGGAGGCAUCACAUUAUACUUGGGCAUGAAUAAUAAUUCAAUACAUCAUGGCUUCAUUAAUCACUUCAUUUUCAAAGAUUUCAACCCACAUGCUAACAUAAAUUCUUGCAAUUCAUUAAAGACAUCAUCUUGGAAAUCACACAACAAGAUUAACAUGAAUACAAACAACCCACAACAUGAAAAUCAUGAUUUAAGAUUUUAAAAAGAGUUUCUUGAACUCCAAGGGUGAAAGGGC
rnacentral:lncRNA from 1 species